rnacentral:lncRNA from 1 species
ACCCGAGCCAACCCAAAAAGAAGAAUCAUCCAAGGCUUUCUCAGAUUCUCAAGCCGUUCUCCCAGACCUCGCAAUCUACUGCCUUCCCAUCGCUCAGAAAGACAUGCUCCCACUUUUCCUCGCACAUAAGAUAACAAUCAAGAUUAGAAUUAUCAAAUUCGAACAAGAGAGUAUGGGGAAUAGCCUGCAUUUUUGGAUUUGCAUCACAACGACACAAGGACGGCGAAAAUCGAGGCCUGAACAUAAUUGGAGGAGGGGGAGCGCACUCACCUCUCUGUCCUCUAGCGUAGCCUUCAAUCUCUGAUGAGACGCUCCAGCACUCAUCUAUCUCCUAAGAUUCACGAUCCAACAUAGAGAAGAGAAAGAACAUAACCAGCGACAAUGAAUAAAGAGAGUGAACGUCCUCUGAAGCAGGAACCCAUUCAUUACUCCUUCUAAUCAUAUUUCAGACUCAUCACGAGAGAAGACAAAAGGAAGAUGAUGGGAGUGCAGAGUUUAGAUUAUCCCAAACACCGAC